rnacentral:rRNA from 1 species
UACGUAGGUGGCAAGCGUUGUCCGGAUUUACUGGGUGUAAAGGGAGCGUAGACGGUAAUGUAAGUCUGGAGUGAAAGGCGGGGGCCCAACCCCCGGACUGCUCUGGAAACUAUGUUACUAGAGUGCAGGAGAGGUAAGCGGAAUUCCUAGUGUAGCGGUGAAAUGCGUAGAUAUUAGGAGGAACACCAGUGGCGAAGGCGGCUUACUGGACUGUAACUGACGUUGAGGCUCGAAAGCGUGGGGAGCAAACAGG